GCGGGAGGGAAAAAAGGAGAAACGUCGAAGAGAAAAAAGGGAAAGGAGAAAAGGCAAGUUUUGAUAUAUGAUGUGGACGAGAAAAUGGAGGACGCGGAAGAUUUGGGUGACAAUGAAGAUCCUCAAACACAGAUGCAAAUACAACAUCAUGGGCAACAAGCCUCAUAGUCUUCUCAGUUGGUGGUAUUAGACCUUGCCACGACCUGGUUUGAUGAUAAACCUGUGGUAAAGGCCGUCUCCGGUACCUUAACAGGCUACUGUCGAAAGCCUUGGAGGAAUUACGAAGAGAAACAAUGCACAUGGGCACCUAAGUUAAACGACCUUGUCAAGAGAACCUUCGAAUUCAAGUUCGCAUGUCGGCCGAAGGACAUGUUUCACACAAUCACAUAUAGGAUGAACGGUUAGAAGCCGGACUGGCUGAUCGAGGAUGUCCACAAGCAGAUGAUGCACAUUGUUGCCACUAAUGAUACGUACAAGAAGCGUUCCGAACAAAAUAAGAAGAAUAGAAGAGGCGGAUCGAUGGAUAAUGUGGUUGAACUAACCCACUACUAGGGUUCAAUUUCAUCUGUACAUCAUGCAAAAA